rnacentral:rRNA from 1 species
GGGCAUGGCGCAGACUACACAUGCAGUCGAGCGGUAGCACAGAGAGCUUGCUCUCGGGUGACGAGCGGCGGACGGGUGAGUAAUGUCUGGGAAACUGCCUGAUGGAGGGGGAUAACUACUGGAAACGGUAGCUAAUACCGCAUAACGUCGCAAGACCAAAGUGGGGGACCUUCGGGCCUCAUGCCAUCAGAUGUGCCCAGAUGGGAUUAGCUGGUAGGUGGGGUAACGGCUCACCUAGGCGACGAUCCCUAGCUGGUCUGAGAGGAUGACCAGCCACACUGGAACUGAGACACGGUCCAGACUCCUACGGGAGGCAGCAGUGGGGAAUAUUGCACAAUGGGCGCAAGCCUGAUGCAGCCAUGCCGCGUGUGUGAAGAAGGCCUUCGGGUUGUAAAGCACUUUCAGCGGGGAGGAAGGCGGUGAGGUUAAUAACCUUGUCGAUUGACGUUACCCGCAGAAGAAGCACCGGCUAACUCCGUGCCAGCAGCCGCGGUAAUACGGAGGGUGCAAGCGUUAAUCGGAAUUACUGGGCGUAAAGCGCACGCAGGCGGUCUGUCAAGUCGGAUGUGAAAUCCCCGGGCUCAACCUGGGAACUGCAUUCGAAACUGGCAGGCUAGAGUCUUGUAGAGGGGGGUAGAAUUCCAGGUGUAGCGGUGAAAUGCGUAGAGAUCUGGAGGAAUACCGGUGGCGAAGGCGGCCCCCUGGACAAAGACUGACGCUCAGGUGCGAAAGCGUGGGGAGCAAACAGGAUUAGAUACCCUGGUAGUCCACGCUGUAAACGAUGUCGAUUUGGAGGUUGUGCCCUUGAGGCGUGGCUUCCGGAGCUAACGCGUUAAAUCGACCGCCUGGGGAGUACGGCCGCAAGGUUAAAACUCAAAUGAAUUGACGGGGGCCCGCACAAGCGGUGGAGCAUGUGGUUUAAUUCGAUGCAACGCGAAGAACCUUACCUGGUCUUGACAUCCACAGAACUUUCCAGAGAUGGAUUGGUGCCUUCGGGAACUGUGAGACAGGUGCUGCAUGGCUGUCGUCAGCUCGUGUUGUGAAAUGUUGGGUUAAGUCCCGCAACGAGCGCAACCCUUAUCCUUUGUUGCCAGCGGUCCGGCCGGGAACUCAAAGGAGACUGCCAGUGAUAAACUGGAGGAAGGUGGGGAUGACGUCAAGUCAUCAUGGCCCUUACGACCAGGGCUACACACGUGCUACAAUGGCAUAUACAAAGAGAAGCGACCUCGCGAGAGCAAGCGGACCUCAUAAAGUAUGUCGUAGUCCGGAUUGGAGUCUGCAACUCGACUCCAUGAAGUCGGAAUCGCUAGUAAUCGUAGAUCAGAAUGCUACGGUGAAUACGUUCCCGGGCCUUGUACACACCGCCCGUCACACCAUGGGAGUGGGUUGCAAAAGAAGUAGGUAGCUUAACCUUCGGGAGGGCGCUACCAUCUAUGAUACGGGG